rnacentral:tRNA from 1 species
UAGAAAAGUGGGUUCAUAGUGAGGCUGCUAACUUUACUAUAAGGAGUUCAAUCUCUUUUUUUCUAU